UGUUCUUUCUAACCUCACGGUCCCUCAUUUUCCAUUCUAUCAGAAUUCUUACUAGAAAGAAGAGAUGAUUUCUAUGAAUGGAGCUGUGGCUUUCGAUUUCACAGGGGAUGGAGCCAUCUGACAUCACCUGAGAGAAACACUUGUCUCCUGAGAACUUCGGAAUCAAACCAGUUCGGUCCUUGCUCCAGUGGACACGCACAGCCAAGGCACCGGCAGCCUGCAGGCCUUGCUGCUCAGCCUGGCACUGCAAGCCCCAGGAGGACAGGGACACUUGUCCGUCUCCCUGCACACUGGAGGCACCCAGUUCCGCACUGGCUGAAUGAAUGGUUCCUGGGGUCACUCUGCCAUCCUCCGGGACAGCUCCACGACAUUCCAUUACAUUUUUAACAACACACCUCCUGCCCUACUACUGGCUUCAUGUUUCUUGAGAAGAGGACUGUGCUUUGUCACUGAACAUUACUUCAGGGCCUGGCACAAUGCUGGGCAUGUAGAGAGGGUGUGACAGCCUGCUGGAUGAAUGAGGUUUGGAGGCCUCUCGGCCUCCCUGACAGUUGGCAGAUGAGACAGUUGGUCUCAUCAAUGCCCCAGAGGCCUGUCACUCAUGAUAUAAGUAGGGCUUCUGAUACAUGUUCUUAGCUUGGGAUGGAGCCGGAACAUCCUCUGCCUGUUACUCAGGCCAGGCCACGCCCCCCUCAUCCCAAAUGAUUUCCAGAACUGACACAGCCUAGAUGGGAGGCCUGUGCAACAAUCCCUUCAUCCACAUCACCGCUGUUCGUCACUGGAAAGUCUGUCAGGGAUCACAGUUAGGAAGAGUGGGCUAGAAACCUGAGCUUUUCAAAGAGGUCGCUGCACCAAAAAGGGCGAGAGGCACCACCGACAUUUAUUACAUAGCAAACUUGGUGGCAAGCAAUGGUUUCUUUAGCUUGUUUCUCUUUCAAUAUUUGACUCAAUUUUCUUGUCUCUUUGGCCACUAGAUGAACUUUUAAACAAUAAAAAGAGCUUCUUCCUC